CUGUGUGUCUGUGUGUGUGUGUGUCACAGGGUGGAUAUAAACUCACUCAGCCUGCCUGGGCUCCUGCUAAAUUGCAUGACAGCUUGCAAAGGGCAGGCAGCUACAGGGCUGCUUCCAGGACCGACCUCGAUGGAUCUCAGUCUGAAAAGAGCUGGGAUGUUCUGUGCAGUGCCCAAGAAAGCCUUUCUCAGGAGCAGCUGCUUGGGCACGGGCAAGGAGCUGGGAUGGCUGCCUGGUCAGGCUGGCACAGAGUACAGGAGGAUUUCCUCAGCAUCCCACAAGGCAAGGCAGGGGGAAGGGCUGCUCAACCCCAGGAGGACCCAGGUGCUGGUGUCACCACUGAACCCUCCUCAGUGAUGGGGAGCCAAGCUUCACCUCCAGGCCCUGCGCAGUGAGAGGCCUCCCAGCACCCAGCAGUGGCAAAUCAGACACAGUGCCACAAACCAUGCAAAGCACACGUUGUCUGAACCAAUGGGUCUUCAUGGGAUCCUUCUGGUUGAGAGAUGAUAUCACAGAUUAUAUCUGUGUCUACUUUAGGUCUGGGCUGUUGCUAAGAGAAAAACAAUUCUUGGCAAAUUCCUCGAAGUGCUUGCCUCCUACAGUUUGGCUGAAGACAGUUUGUUCAAGAACCAUGGGUAGGUGUGAGUUUCUGUCUCUUCGCCUUCUGAGAAUUGCUCUCGCCAGUGCAAAACUGAAGAUGAUAAUGCUCCCAUUAAAAAUGAGGUGAAUGCUCAGGCUGACAUGAGUGGGUGGAAAGGACUUCAAACAGGAUGAAUCUGGGGACAAACCUACCCUUGCCAAGACAAACAGCUGCAGAGAGCUGCAGGAAAGAAAAAAGGGCACCGCUGUUCAAAAUGAUUCAGUCACAAAGGGCUGAUUGAGGCUGCAUAUCCAUCAAUUCAUAACAAAAACCAAUGGCUUUCAUAUGAAGAAAGAAAAAGUACAUCAUAUGUCACACAGGAGGACUGCAGAGCUGAUAUCAUUAGGACAACAGACUGAUAUUCCAUAGGAGAGACAGAGAUAUGGGAUGAACACAGAGCAGAAAGCUCUCACUCUCCUUCCUACAUCUGUCUUUCAUUUGCUUUGCCUCUAUCUGCCCGUUGUUGAUGUUUUCUCACAUUAUCUUGGUCCGUUUGUUCAAGCUGUAUUUCAUUCCAAGGAGGCAGGGAGCUCCAGGUGUGAAUGAGGGCUGUGAGCAUGAACUCACUGUCACAGUUAUUAUUGUUAUCAUUCCUCUGAAAACCAGCCUGGUGGAGGUUUGGCUCUGUGGAAUUUGUUCUGCUGUUUUAACUGUAUCCUUGUUGAAUGUGGAAAAUGGAAUGAAAGUGGAAUGAAAAUGUGGAAAAAAGGGGAAUGA
rnacentral:lncRNA from 1 species